UUAUCUGUGAUGAGAAAGCUAACACGUAAGAAGAGAGUAGUCCUUUGUGGUGUCUCUUUCUUCAAUGAAAUACCUUUGUUACGCUUGGCUUCUGAGAUAC
rnacentral:snoRNA from 1 species